rnacentral:rRNA from 1 species
UACAGAGGGUGCAAGCGUUGUUCGGAUUUACUGGGCGUAAAGGGCGCGUAGGCGGCAAUUCAAGUCAUCUGUGAAAUCUCCGGGCUUAACUCGGAACGGUCAGAUGAUACUGCUUUGCUAGAGUGCGGAAGGGGCAAUCGGAAUUCUUGGUGUAGCGGUGAAAUGCGUAGAUAUCAAGAGGAACACCUGAGGUGAAGACGGGUUGCUGGGCCGACACUGACGCUGAUGCGCGAAAGCCAGGGGAGCAAACGGG